UACAUGGGGUGCAAACGUUGCUCGGAAUUAUUGGGCGUAAAGCGCACGUAGGCGGUUUGUUAAGUCGGAUGUGAAAUCCCUCGGCUCAACUGAGGAAGUGCAUCCGAAACUGGCAAGCUUGAGUACGAAAGAGAGUCGCGGAAUUCCCGGUGUAGAGGUGAAAUUCGUAGAUAUCGGGAGGAACACCGGUGGCGAAGGCGGCGACCUGGGUCGAUACUGACGCUGAGGUGCGAAAGCGUGGGGAGCAAACAGG
rnacentral:rRNA from 1 species